rnacentral:sRNA from 1 species
GACCCUGAGGGCAGUGGGUUAUACAAACUUUCUGUUACUGUCUCAGAAGUUGGUACUCAACUCCCUCGCUUCUGAAUUGGACUGGUUUCCC